UACGCAGGGUGCAAGCGUUGCCCGGAAUUAUUGGGCGUAAAGAGCUUGUAGGCGGUUUGUCGCGUCUGCUGUGAAAUUUCGGGGCUCAACCCCGAACUUGCAGUGGGUACGGGCAGACUAGAGUGUGGUAGGGGAGACUGGAAUUCCUGGUGUAGCGGUGAAAUGCGCAGAUAUCAGGAGGAACACCGAUGGCGAAGGCAGGUCUCUGGGCCAUAACUGACGCUGAGAAGCGAAAGCAUGGGGAGCGAACAGG
rnacentral:rRNA from 1 species